rnacentral:rRNA from 1 species
AGAGUUUGAUCCUGGCUCAGGAUGAACGCUAGCGGCAGGCCUAACACAUGCAAGUCGAGGGGUAACAGGGAGCUUGCUCCGCUGACGACCGGCGCACGGGUGCGUAACGCGUAUACAAUCUACCUUUUGCUACGGGAUAGCCCAGAGAAAUUUGGAUUAAUACCGCAUAGUAUAUUGAGAUCGCAUGGUUUUAAUAUUAAAGGUUACGGCAGAAGAUGAGUAUGCGUUCUAUUAGCUAGAUGGUGUGGUAACGGCACACCAUGGCAACGAUAGAUAGGGGCCCUGAGAGGGGGAUCCCCCACACUGGUACUGAGACACGGACCAGACUCCUACGGGAGGCAGCAGUGAGGAAUAUUGGACAAUGGGCGAGAGCCUGAUCCAGCCAUGCCGCGUGCAGGAAGACGGCCCUAUGGGUUGUAAACUGCUUUUAUACAGGAAGAAACACCUCUACGUGUAGAGGCUUGACGGUACUGUAAGAAUAAGGAUCGGCUAACUCCGUGCCAGCAGCCGCGGUAAUACGGAGGAUCCAAGCGUUAUCCGGAAUCAUUGGGUUUAAAGGGUCCGUAGGUGGAUAAUUAAGUCAGAGGUGAAAUCCUGCAGCUCAACUGUAAAAUUGCCUUUGAUACUGGUUAUCUUGAGUUAUUAUGAAGUAGUUAGAAUAUGUAGUGUAGCGGUGAAAUGCAUAGAUAUUACAUAGAAUACCAAUUGCGAAGGCAGAUUACUAAUAAUGUACUGACACUGAUGGACGAAAGCGUGGGGAGCGAACAGGAUUAGAUACCCUGGUAGUCCACGC